rnacentral:lncRNA from 1 species
CUUUGCAAAGAACAAGGUACUCCAUAUUCCUACAGCCCUGGAGGAUGAAAGAAAGGGUGAGGUUAUAUUCCUUUUUACAUAUGACGAAGUGGAGGCCCGGGAACUUGGGGAACUUUCUGUGGUUUACUCACUUGUAAUUCUGGAGUGGCAGAGCUAGGCUAAGAGGAAAUGUCAGCGUCCUGUCCACCACGCAGCCCUGCCUUCUUUCAUGAUAACCUUGAUAAGGACAUGGAUUCAAAACCUGAGAUAAAUCCUCGGAGCCAUGGUGCCAGCAGUUUGGUGCAGGUACCAAAAUACAGAGCUGAUUCCAAAAUCUAUGCUCCAUAACCAUCCGAGACUGCCCAGGGCUGCAAUCCAUGGAGACAGCGAGAAACAUGACAACAAACAAAUACAUUGCCCGAGUCUGAAAUCUGACUCUGGUUUCUAAUUCUACCACUAAACUUUUUAUAAUUUCUGAUUAUAAAAAUAAUGUGAAAAUAACAUAGCAAUUAACAUCUAUUGAUCACUUGGGACUAAGCAUCUGCCAGAGAUCAUUUAAUUCUCACCUACAAAGUAGAUACUAUUUUCCUGGGGUGAAGGGAUUGGUCUAAGGUCAUAGAGCUAUCAUGUGUAAGAGGCAAGAUAAGAUUCAGACUCAAAAGGCCAGAGGAUCAGAGUUACACUGCUUUCCUGCACAGAAUUACUACUGAUUGUUGCCCCGGUUACAUAGGACUGCUGAGAAAAUGGCACACAGACUUAUUUCUUCGGAGAAACGUCAAAUGUUUCAUAUGAUUCAUUAUUCUUAUUUUUACUUUUGAAUUUUGGGGUUCAUUGUUUAAUUAUAAAAGAUGGCUCUUUUACUAACGAUUUUGUCAUUUGCUAGUAAUUUUUUCAUGCAACUCACUGAAAUUUCUGAUUUUAUAAUUUCAGGCCUUUGACCUCAGCUUUUGCUUUUCACAGAAACUGGAGAAUUCUGUUUACUAGUUUGCUAAGACAAUAUUUU